ACUAAGAUUACCCCAGUAGCGGCGAGCGAACUGGUAAAAGCUCAAUUCAAAUCUGCGGUCAUGAGGCCGUCGAAUUGUAAUCUAAAGGGGUCAGCAAAAGGUGGAUGGGAGGCAUAAGUCGCUUGGAACAGCGCGCCAAAGAGGGUGAUAGCCCCGUAUUAGGCCUCGCGGAAACCGAAUGUUGGCUUUCAAAGAGUCGGGUUGUUUGGGAUUGCAGCCCUAAAUGGGAGAUAAACUUCUUCUAAGGCUAAAUAUUUAUGGGAAACCGAUAGCGAACAAGUACUGUGAAGGAAAGAUGAAAAGAACUUUGAAAAGAGGGUUAAAAGACCUGAAAUCGUUGAGAAGGAAGCGGUAGAAGUGGAUUGAUUGGCUUCCAAGUAAAUUAGGCAGGUGUCAA
rnacentral:rRNA from 1 species